rnacentral:miRNA from 1 species
AUACAUAUAUGUACACACACACACACACACACACACACACAGGGUGUGUCAUUUAAAAGAGACCCCGUGGAUACAGAGUACACAUGUUCCACUGGGCCUCUUUUAAAAGACUCACUGUGUGUGUGUAUGUCUGUGUGUGUGUGUGUGUGUGUGUGUGU